CGUUGUUGGAAACAGCACCAAAGUGUCCGCCGUGUGUGUGCGUGUGUGGGAGGCAAACGAAAAUGGACGACGCUUCCAGUGUACUGGGUGGGCGAUGGCGGGAGGAGCGUCACAUAGAAAAAGAGGGGGGAAAAAAUGGCCGAAAAAAUAAAAAUCAGGAGGAAUUGAACGGCGGGGUGCUCAAAUUCACGCACGACAAGCGCACCACCUUUUUAUUUCCAAGCACAGCGUGAACUUGGUUAUCGAACUUUUAUUUGCUGUAAUUUUUGUUUUCUCUUGGUUUUCAAGAACGCCGCAGUUCUCCACUCAUGAAGCCGCGUGAAUAACAAGACAACUCAAGUGACCUUGAAUAUUUUUCAAAAACUAUUCGUCAUCCUCUUUUUUUUUUGCAUUCUAGGACGACCUUGAACGAUUUAGAGAUGCAACUUGAAGUUUCGCGCCGAAAUGUUUUGUUCCUAGUUUCGCGCCAUGCGCUUCGCACAACAGCAGCGGUAGCAGAAAAUGAAGAUCGCGGCACGGAUGGGCUGAAGGGCCGCGUGUUCGCGCGACGACGACCAUCAACGACUGGCCAAGACCGCCAGGCGCCGCUGCUAGUCACAAGCAGGGUGGUUCGAGCGGACACGGACGAACAGAAACAGGCGUCUAUGUGUCAUCACAUAGCGGCGGCGUUGGCGAUGGAGUGUCGUGUGACUUGCAGACGCCUCCCCUCCUCCUUUUUUUUUCCUUUUUUCUUUUUCGGUCAUCCCAUCGUGUCGACCAAUAGGUUCCAUAGUUGCCACAUUUAGAGGCGGAGUCUGGGGCGGAGCCUUUUAUUUUCUCGGACCUUUGGUGCAGUCCCCUGAAUCUAGUCGACACUCUACCGAGAGAGGGCCAGACAGACGGACCGGAUGCGAGCUGGCUACUUGUAAGACCCCAAUCGUGGCGCUAAUUCACUCUCGCCUUCUUCGCAGCGAUUACUCCAUUCGUCCGAAAAAUAAUUGAUCUAUCGCACAUCAACGAAAAGAUCAUUUAUUACUGCUGUUGACUGAUGAUGUCCCUCCACCAUCUACGAAAAUACGGAGGGCCCGUUUGUGUGUGCGUUUCGAGUAGAAAGACGUCGGCAUUACACGAUUCGGACUCUAUGUGAAGAUGAACUGCUCAUCGUAGAGUGCCAGGCCUCGUUCCACACAAAAAACACUGGCAAUGUAUAAUCAUUCAACGUAUUGCGCUCACGCGUGCCAGGAUCCCCUCUCGUUGUAUGGAAUAAUAAUCACUUGACACUAUUGCCGUUUUUCCGAAAAGUAUUAGUCACACUUUUUCAAAAACGUUGUGUGUAUAUUUUAAAAAUCUAUUUUGCCUCGAGAUGUCUAGAGAUUUUCAGUAGAGACGUAAUCGAGCGGUCAAUUUGGGCCCUGCCCACGGGUUCGCGUAUUGAUCCAGUCUCCCCCGUCCAUCCAGCAGACGCAUACACACACCCAGACUGGAUAGAGUGGCAGGCCUUUAUUCUUGUCUAAAAGAGACAGACCAAUCUCUCUAAGAUAAACACACAGACGGACUGAUGUUUCAUUUUUCAUGUUGCUAUUUAUUUUCACGUCAAUCAUAAAUAUAGAUGGCGGUGAUACAUGAAGGCAGAGUUACAUCAUGUCCACGCACGAAAGGACUUGAAGACGAACGGCACAGUUAAUGUUGUUUCGUCACUGACACGAAUCGAUGAUGAGCCUACCGUACCCUCUUUUCUUUCUGUGCGUGCAUACACACCCACCCCACAAUAUGGAAUGAAUUCGCAAUCAAUGACCCUAAACAUCGCCGCCAGGCACAAUUCGAUUGGAAAGGUUCGAUCGAUACAGAUUAGCAGUUUCUUGUUUGAUCCACCCAUGCACGAAACGCGAAUAUGAUGUAAUCCAGCUCCACUGUUUAGACUAUUAGGUCGACUAAAACAAGGUCGUCGUAAUUCUAAUUAAUCAAAAUAGUACACACUUUGGCUUUACUCGGAUUUUUUUGGCCGCAGGCGGCACACGUGGCCUUCUAUAUCGCACACACACAAUAAAUACGAAAGUGGCUCAUCACGAGAAACGCCGGCCAUCGUUUUCCGGACAUUUGACGACAUUAACGACUGGGAGAAAACAUAAAAAAAAAAAAAAUAAAUACAUCAAUGUGUGUGUGUGUGUAGUAUUUUUAGGUUUGUUAGUGUUCCUUCUCAACCCCCCUCAUUUAAAAAAAAAAGCCCUCCUUCAACAUUGUCGCUAUAUACUUUGUAUAUGUGUGUGGGGCUGCACACAGUCAAACGAAAUAUUACGACGAUAGCUGUAAGGGCGGGGGGGACUGAGGGGGUAGGAGAAAGUCUUUUUUUCUUUUUCCCCAUUAGUUCAUACCGGAAACGGUGCUGCGCCGAUGGGUGCAUACAUACAUAGCUUUUGCAGCAUGCAGCUAUAGCAAGGCAUUAGCAUUUGAAUAGCGACACGAGUAUAUCAGACACACAGAACGACUGGCAUCAGCCGAUAGAGACACACAUACGCCAAGCAAAUGGCGUGAUGGCUUCUUUUUCUUUAUUUCGUAAGAGCCAUCAGCAAGACACAAAUAACCAUCAGAGCCGACACAUCCGACGGACACGAGAAGAGAACGAAAAAUUAGCAUCAAUAUAAUAUUAGAAUUUCCUAUGUGUGUGUGUGUGUGUGUGGCUCUUCCGUGUCUGUAUGACUUCCGUCCGGUAAUGCACAGGCGACGACGCAGCAGAAAGCCGACGCCUUUCAUCUCGGACCAUUUGGUGUAGAUAUUAUGCAACGUAUAUUUAUAUUCUUUCAAUAGAUUUCGGAAUUGUAUGGAACAUUAUCGUAUAGAGUAUUAGAUGGGCAGCAACGCUCUUCAUUUUUGUUUUGGUUUAACUCGUUCCCACACAGGGUAAACGAAAUCAAAGAUCAUUCGACAUGAAAAAGUCAUUUGGCCUCUUCCAUAACUUUGAGAUCCGAUCAGCGCCGGAUUAGACAGGCUCAUCAUCAUUUGAUUUCAUUAGUAUGACGACGAAAGUCCCCCCCAGUAAAGUUUUCGAGGUUUUCUUUUACCAGAAAAUGAUUUUCAGGGGGGAAAACUUCGUUACAUUUGAAAUGCCAAUCAUCACUCGUAUUGAACAGAUGGUCUCGACGCCGUUGCCAAGUUUCCACCUUUUGUUUUUCCCGUUCCACCAUCUUGUCUCUCCUUUUUUUGUUUGGUUUUUUAAAUUCUUGAUCGAAAAAGAAAAGAAAAAAAGAUGAACAUUUAUCGUCGAAGGGAGGAAAGGGUUGAUGUUGGGGGUCCUCUCACUCCCACAUUUCUUGAUAUCUAUCUAAUGUAAUAAAUCGAUACCUGUCUUUA